CCCAGCUAACAGGGAACGUUCCCAGAACAUUCACUAACGUUCUUUAAAAGUUGUGUAAAUGUUAGUACAAAACGUUAUUAAAAUAAUGUUUUCGGAACGUUCUUAUAACGUUGUUAAUGUUCUUAUAAGGUUGAUAGAAAACGUUCUUAGAACAACGUUCUCGGAACGUCUUUAGGACGUUAUUUGUAAUUGAUGAAUGUUCUUAUAAGGUUGACAGAAAACGUUCUUAGAACAACGUUCUCGGAACGUCUUUAGGAUGUUAUUUGUACUUGAUGAAUGUUCUUAUAAGGUUGACAGAAAACGUUCUUAGAACAACGUUCUCGGAACGUCUUUAGGACGUUAUUUGUAAUUGAUGAAUGUUCUUAUAAGGUUUGUAGAAAACGUUCUUAGAACAACGUUCUCGGAACGUCUUU
ensembl:lncRNA